rnacentral:rRNA from 1 species
UACGGGGGGGGCAAGCGUUGUUCGGAAUUACUGGGCGUAAAGGGCUCGUAGGCGGCCAACUAAGUCAGACGUGAAAUCCCUCGGCUUAACCGGGGAACUGCAUCUGAUACUGGAUGGCUUGAAUUCGGGAGAGGGAUGCAGAAUUCCAGGUGUAGCGGUGAAAUGCGUAGAUAUCUGGAGGAAUACCGGUGGCGAAGGCGGCAUCCUGGACCGACAUUGACGCUGAACGGCGAAAGCUAGGGGAGCAAACGGG